rnacentral:misc_RNA from 1 species
GAGUAACAAGCAUACUCUUUGCAUAUUUGCAUUAUUGAUGAAUGUUGCGAAUUGCUGCAUUUAUGCUUUUACAAUCAAAUUCCAUGGUCUUCAUCCAGUUCUCAAAGUCUCCAAUUUCCUUAAUUGCAGUGUUAAUGGCAUGAGUGGCAGUAAGCCACUGAUCAGUUUGUCUCAUGAAUCUGGAAAUCGUUGCAGCUAAAGCUCGAAUCUCGAGUUCAAUUCGUUUCUCGUUGAUGAAAGAUUCUUGAACUCCCCCAUUCACUGCGUCCAUCAAUAGAUCUGAUACCCUCACGGCCUUCUUAAUUGCAUCUUUCUUCGCUUUCUCGGUAAGUUCGCGGAGACGGAGAGACUUGUGGUGGUGAUCGUCCAUAAGUUGGAGGAGAGAAGCUUCAAGGCCUCCUGGCUCUGGCUGCGGCUUCUCUGUCUCCCAUGGCGAAGCCACGCGCGUACGCGCCAACGGAAGCUGUGGUGAAUACAUCCAGCGAGUGAGGUUCUCUUUUCGGUCGAUGCAAGUGUUUUCUGCUGUUGAUAGAAGCUUCACUCACUCUUUGAGAUCCGGAUCCAGUUAUGGAUC